rnacentral:sRNA from 1 species
UUUUAUAAAAUAUUUAUAUUUUACAGUUUAUAAUUGUUAUUAAGUAACGCUAUACCACGAAUCCAUGAGACAAUUGUUAAAAUUUUUAAGUUUUAACCCCUAUUAAAACAGCAUAUUAAACAUAUUUCAAAAUUUUAUAAAUAUUGAUUCAAAUACAUCUACCAUAUAACCCAAUUCCAAAAUAAAACCCGUUCUGUAAUUUCUUUACCCGUCCCGUGGUUUUUUUAAAAAUAGUAAUUUUUAAAAUUUAAGAAUUAUUUUUUAUAUAUAAAAGUUUUGCAAAUUGUAUCAUUCUCUAAUACAUUUAUAUUUUAUAGUUUAAUUUUAUAUAUAA